UACAGAGGUCUCAAGCGUUGUUCGGAUUCAUUGGGCGUAAAGGGUGCGUAGGCGGCGCCGUAAGUCGGAUGUGAAAUCUCAGGGCUCAACCCUGAAACUGCAUUCGAUACUGCGGUGCUUGAGGACUCGAGAGGAGAGUGGAAUUCACGGUGUAGCAGUGAAAUGCGUAGAUAUCGUGAGGAAGACCAGUGGCGAAGGCGGAUCUCUGGAGAGUUCCUGACGCUGAGGCACGAAGGCCAGGGGAGCAAACGGG
rnacentral:rRNA from 1 species